rnacentral:rRNA from 1 species
AUGCACCACUGUGGCCGUGUCUUGGCCGUCGGGGAGCCGCCUCGAAACAGAAGGCGAGGAGUAGAUCAGGCCAAGGAAUCCAUAAAGGGAAGAAGUAGAGGGGGAAAGGGUUUGGACGCGUGUACUGUAGCUUCUGUCGUUGCAGAUCGAGGCACCCCGCCUCGGUUCGACCUUGAAAUCGCCGGAGACCAGCAACGUGGCGGAUCUGAACGGACCACGACCGGAUCCAGCACCCGCGCAUGCGCGAUGAAGCUUGAUGCGUGCGUCCCCUCAGCCGCACACGGCUUGCCGGAGACGCAACUAUCGCUGGGCGGAGUCUUGGUGGUUGCGUUCUCCGCGACGUGCGCGGUGAUGCGUCGGGGGGAGCCGCGCGGACGCCAGCCCGUGGAUGCACACGGCGACGCAGCGGCGGAGGGGAAACUGGGGCGACGGGGGAGUGAGUGGAGGGGAGAGGAGCGAGUGGAGGGGAGAGGAGGGGAGAGGAGCGAGUGGAGGGGAGUGGAGCGAAGGGAUUGGAUAAGGUGGGCGGCGGGUAGGUGGAGAGGCGGGGAGGUGGGCCGACGGGCGGUUAGGUGGAACGGCAAGCACUGCCGCACCGGGGGAGGUGGGCCGUCGCGCGGCGGGGGGCUGGGCACGCAAAGGCAUAGAUAUAAAUUGAUGGGUUCCGACAUACGCACUGAUGCAACGAUGACAGACCGCACUGAAACACCGCGAGAAGAGAAUAUAGUAUACAUGGAUAUGGACUCUGGAUAUGCACGGAAAGAAUCCAUUGAGGGUUCAGAUGCAAUGUCGCUGCAAGGGGGCGGAAAAUCACAACAUAAUCACGUCGAAGAGGUUAUAUCUCACAAUAAACCAAAAAAAGAUGCUAAUUUACAUGUUAUCCCACAAGAUAUUACAGUCAUCGAAUCAAUCAAGUCUGCCCCUAAGAAUACCCAGUUUGUGGACAUUGGAGAUGCCUUGUUAGUAAAAGACGAUUUGGAAUGCCUUAUUAAAAAUGACAUGUUCUUACAUGACGGUGUGAUAAAUGCUUACAUAUAUUGCAUGCUUGCUCACGAGCAUCUACAAGACAGGGCGGGUGAAAAGUUAUUAGGGCUUGAGAAAUGGCUGAAACUUGCAAAGCAUAGUCCGGAGUUUAUCAAAGGUCAUAAGUGGCAUGAUCUCAAUGUUACAAAAUGGACGGUUGUAGAGCAAAUUCAGGAGGCAAUACAAACCGAUGGCGUAUCAUGUGGAUUGUUCAUGCUAACUUAUAUGGAAUACUGGACACCAGAUGGACUGUCAGACCAGUUUACGCAGGAUGAUAUGAAACAUUUUCGACAAAAAUUAGCAAUUAUUUUGCUCGAUUCAGAGCUUGAUAAGUUAAAAGGAUGUCCCAUGUACCAUCAACCUCUCAACAAAGAAACUUUAGCUAAUUCUGAUCUUGAGAUCCUGGAUAAUCCAUCUGACGUGGUCGAAGAGAAACGUUCCGCCCCAAUCACUAUCAUUCUCACGGACCAACGUGAAAUACUUGCCGGCCUCUGCAACUACAUCAUGUUGAUCAAUGAUGCUGGAUCUUUGGAGAAGGUAUGGGUCCGGAGCUCCACACCCGAUCCAAUGAGCUUAAGUCUUAAGAAACUUCAGUGCAUACUUAACAUGGAGCAGCCCAUGGACAAUGAUUGCUUCAACACCGCCGUGCUUAUGCUGGCAUGUGACGAGGGAUCCAUGCUGCUAGAGUCAACACGAGGUCAGAAGUUUUGUGAGAAGGAAACUAUCCAGACGUUGGCAACAUUAUUUGAUAGCUGGCCUGGGACGGAGACCGACAUCUCAUCUUGCAAUAAGAUUUAUCUUCCCUAUGCAUCCAUCGGCCGAUACAUCCUGUACAUCAUCGACAAAGAGGCACGUUGUCUAUAUAUUAUGGAUCCUAUUCAAUCAUCACAAUCGUUAGAGGAUAAAAACUUGAGGCAUUCAUUGAAAUUAAAAAGUUUUUCAAGGGAUUUCAAAGAAGCACUCGAAAUAAAGCUGCCUGGGUGGAAUUCUGAUAUAUCUAAAUGGCAUCGUUUAUUUCCGGCCGGUGUUCCAACGAGUAUAGACGGGAUGGGAAAUGGCGGCAAGGGCGUCGCCAUCAUCGGCUCCGACAACUGA